rnacentral:tRNA from 1 species
CAGGGAGACAACAAAAAUGUUUAAUAUUAUUAUUUUGUCACCUUAGGUCGAUCGGUAUCUCACGUUCUUAACUAAUUAAGAAUUUCAAUUCCUAAGUUUUUCUAGGUCACACCCAUUAUUUUCCCUGGCCAUUAGCUCAGUGGUUAGAGCGCACCCUGAUAGGGUGAGUCCCUGUUCAAGUCCAGGAUGGCCCAUAUCUCUAUGUUGGGGGUAUAGCUCAGUUGGUAGAGCGCCUGCUUUGCAAGCAGGAUGUCAGCGGUUCGAGUCCGCUUACCUCCACUGAUUACCACCUCUUCCAUAAUUUGUAGAAAGGGAAUUUUUUUGAGUUGUGAUCAACUUCUGAACGAAUCUAGCUUCCUAAUGAAAGCAUUAAGAUGCUGGACUCAUUGAAUUAAUUUCAUUGUUUUCAGAGAACCUUGACAACUGCAUAGAUUAUUUUUAAAGACAAUAAGCAUCUUUAAUGAUGCAGAUUUAUUAUUUGUGCAAAUGCAUUAAUAACAAUUCUAUUAAGCUGAUGCUUCAA